UGCAGAAUUCAGGCAUUGGUUCGAUACUUUGGAAAUCAGUUGGGAAAUCUGAAUUUUGGCAGCUUCAAGCCCCACCGGACCCAAAUUUUGUUUUCCAAGAGUCUCUUUGGCUUUCUCCAGCACCGCUUGCAGGGUUCACAAUUCAAAUUUUCUUCUACCUCCAGCUGCUCGUGAAGCCUUCUCUGCACUUCAAUUUGCAUCUCGAGUGCUUCACCAAUCUGCAGCGCUUAAAUUGUUCAUGUGAAUUGCAUUUACUUCAGGCAUUCUGUCACCCGAAAUAGCAAGUGAACCUACAUGCAGAAAACUGGAUUUCAACAUGAUUAUCUAGAUAGCAUGGGCGAUUAUGGUAUUACCUGAAGAUGACUCUUUAGGUGGUAUAAGCUGGUUGACUGCUUCGAUGAAGCGCUCAUGAAGAUCUAGCGUCCAUUUCAGUCGAGGCUUUGCAUCAGUUGAAAGGAUAAGUCCAGAAUCUCCAGGACCAUUCCCACCUUGCAGGAACAAGUGUCUUUCUGGAGGCAUUGGAAUUCUCGAAGGAGAGUGGUUGUUCUUCCCUUGAUGUUGAGGAUGAUGAUACAUCUCUCCAAAUGGAGACACAAAACAAGGUUAUGGCUGGUUAUCUUUGUGGGAAUUUAGAAGACGAUUCCAUUGACUGGAGCACCUAGUAACUUUGGAAUUUGAUAUAUUAAAGGAGAGAUGCUUGCGCUUGGACAAUGUGCUGAGGAAGGAAUAGAAUAUGGCAUACAUUCUGUUUUGUCUCCUUCAGUAAGCUUGGUACUGAUUCAGCCGCCACACUGUAAAAAAAUAUAGAUGAGGGUCCCAGAUGCUUUUUAUUUUUUCAUCCUUCAAAUGGCAUAAGACAGCCGGUCCCCUCCGCCGACUAAUCCUAAGCACCAUUGGACCUGAUAACAAGAAGAAAAAAAAUGGAGAUUGUAAAUGCUUCCGUACUUGCAUUUGAUGCAACAAGAGGGACAAGUCAUUGCCAGCAUAUGACCCCUCCUCCCUGACUCAUGCAGAUUCUCUUGGACAAGGAGAUGCUCUACAAAGAGAAACACCAACAUAUAAUUAUUAAUUCAAGCUUGAGGACCAGUCAAUCAUGAGCGAUGACACGUGUGAGAUGUUGAUUGGUUGCAUUUUGUUGACUAGAUGGGAUUAGCAUGCAUUGGUUCUGCAAUGGAAAGUGAGAAAUGACCACGGAAUGUAUUCCUUGUGGGGAAAAAAAAAAGGUUAGAGGAGGAAGUAAAAGAUGAGAUUCCAUGGAAUGGAAUUUAAGAAUCUUAACUCAAAGUAAAGCCAAUGAGUCAUAUUCUCAAGUCAGAAAUUUGGUUAUUCCUCUCUAUCCAAAGCCACAAAAAAUGGGUUCCCACCCAAUACCUUUUUCCAUUCUUUUUUAACUUUAGUUUAGUGUAGUUAGAUGCCCUUCGACAUUCAUGAUUAGUGUUUGUGCUUGUGUGCCAUCAUAAUUUGAGCCAUACACCUGAUUGAGAGAAUAUUGCCUUGUUUAGAUAUUUUCUUAUGUUUAAUUAUUUGAGAUAUGGCCUCUCAUGCUACUCUUUUUACUUCUUGUUUACAGGGAUGAUUAAACAACUGGUCUUCUGGUCCCAUGCAUACUUAAGAGGUUCAAUUGAUCAAGCUUUCUCUUUUUUUCCCAUCUACUUAACAUGCAUUUUCGCAGGAUCUUGUGCAUGACCCCCCAAGAAACAACUGCUCCCAUGUUUGUAGUCCAUCAUCAUCCUUAGCAUCUUAAUUAUUGUUUUUAUAUUUUAUUGGAACUAAUCUACCUACGAUUGAAUAUAUUCAU